AACGAACGCUGGCGGCAGGCUUAACACAUGCAAGUCGAACGCAUCGCAAGAUGAGUGGCAGACGGGUGAGUAACGCGUGGGAACAUACCCUUUUCUACGGAAUAGCUCUGGGAAACUGGAAUUAAUACCGUAUACGCCCUACGGGGGAAAGAUUUAUCGGGGAAGGAUUGGCCCGCGUUGGAUUAGCUAGUUGGUGGGGUAAAGGCCUACCAAGGCGACGAUCCAUAGCUGGUCUGAGAGGAUGAUCAGCCACACUGGGACUGAGACACGGCCCAAACUCCUACGGGAGGCAGCAGUGGGGGAUAUUGGAUAAUGGGCGCAAGCCUGAUCCAGCCAUGCCGCGUGAGUGAUGAAGGCCUUAGGGUUGUAAAGCUCUUUCACCGAUGAAGAUAAUGACGGUAGUCGGAGAAGAAGCCCCGGCUAACUUCGUGCCAGCAGCCGCCGUAAGAC
rnacentral:rRNA from 1 species